rnacentral:lncRNA from 1 species
ACAUUAUAGUUUAAAGGACUAAAAAGAAUAAAUCCAAGAAAGUACAAACAGUCACAAACCCUAACUCAACCCAAGGAGAACCCAAAGCUCACAAAGAACCCUAGUUCAUAGGAGCAAACCAACAAAACUUAAUGAGUCGUCAUCACCAUCGACCGUAUGCACACCUUUGGCCUGGGAGAUCAUUCCACAGCAAACAAAGCAUCUAAACCACCAUGAACAAACUGAAGGAAAGACGAGAUUUAGGGUCAAACCAUCUAACUUGGCUUCAACCACUGAAUCAACAGAUUUGGGGCGUUGACUCCAUGCCAUUCCAUUCCGACCAACGACUCAAAGGGUAGCGAGGAAACCUCGAGAAAAGACUGAAGCAAAAGCAAGACCACCAAAACUUGAUGCAAAAUGAGUCGCCCAGACUAAGAAAAACAUCACCCGUAUCUCGGGUUCAAGUUUCUUUGUUUAGUUAAAACAUAAAUCUGACUGCCAUCUAGUGCACAACAAUCAUCAUUUAUUACCGUAUAUAAUAUAUAUGUAUAUAUAUAACAUAAUUUUCUUCUUUGUAAUUGCUUUGGAUGAUAUCAUAUCCCAAUCCUUUGGUGCACCAAACACACCUAAAAUGAACAUGACACAUCAGCUAAAACCCAAGAUACCAACACUUCCUUGAACAACAUGAUAGCUUGUACAAUACAAACCUUAAACCCAUGUCCUGUUUCCCCUUUAAAAGCUU